CGCGCACAAGCACCGCGUCUCAUGAACGCGGACAACUCCGUGGGAGUCCGUGGACACCACGCAGAACCACGCAAACACGGCCCGGGCAGCGCGCAGACUCCUCGGCGGCCCUGAGACUUCACACUGGGUGACCCGUUACCGGCGCUGCCGCAGCGGCGGCUCGACCCGCCGCGGCGGCCCGGGAAACGGCGAGCGGAGCGGCGGACGGCCGGGUCGUACUCACCGGGCCGGUUCGCGCUAGAGACAGGCCCUCUGACGUCAGGGGGGUCCCGUCUCCGCCUCCCAGACGCGAGGGGGCGCUCUGCGCCGCGAGGGGGCUCCAGACGGCCGCCGAUCCGGCAGGAUCUGCCCGCUUCCAGGGCCCGGGCGCCCGGCGGGAACCCCCUGCUGGGCCCUGCCGGCCUCGGCUCGGCUCAGAGUUCAGGACUGACGGUUUUCCCGGAGGUUCCUUGUUGUCAGGUCACGUUGUAGCCCUCCGCCGCCACCGACCGGGCUUCCCCUGCACACGGCCCCGCAGCAGGGGCCCAACAGCCGGGACGGGUUCCGGGGCGGCGCCCCGAGAACGCAGGCCUCUCCCGGUCCAAAACAUCCAGGAAAACCCCUUCUCUGCUUUUCCAAGGAACUGCGAUGAAUUUACAACAGAGUAGAUCCGGAGUAUGGAGGACCAAACAUGCAAAAACCAAGAAUAAACAGAAAUAGAUCACUGUGCUGACUGAACUCACAAAUUAAACAAAAACAACAAAACUGGUUUUAUUUUUAUCUUAAAAUAAAAACGUGAUACAGAUUGAUAUUAAUAUUUAGAUCUAGCAUUUAAAAUGUAUUUUUGUUUUAAUGUAAUUAUUAAAAUAAAAUUUUAAAUGAUUUC